UACGUAGGGUGCGAGCGUUGUCCGGAAUUAUUGGGCGUAAAGAGCUCGUAGGCGGUGUGUCGCGUCGGCCGUGAAAACCUGGGGCUUAACUCUGGGCGUGCGGUCGAUACGGGCAUCACUGGAGUUCGGCAGGGGAGACUGGAAUUCCUGGUGUAGCGGUGAAAUGCGCAGAUAUCAGGAGGAACACCGGUGGCGAAGGCGGGGUCUCUGGGCCGAUACUGACGCUGAGGAGCGAAAGCAUGGGGUAGCGAACAGG
rnacentral:rRNA from 1 species